rnacentral:lncRNA from 10 species
UGUGCUUUCUAGACCUCCUGGUUUCACGUGAAACCCCCGCAGCCUAUCCCCCAGUUCGUUCCCAAACCCCCAGGUAGACAGGCCUGCCCCUACUGAGAACUUAUCCUCUUUUUUUUUUCCUUUGGCCUCCAAAAGAUUUAAACACGUGCUGUUGCCUCACCUAAGCUUGGAACAUUCCUCAGUAAACCACACCCCCACUGCCCGGUUUCGCUAACUCCUUCCUGACCUCCCUUGUCUCUGCUUGAAGGGAUAGAUUAAUGUUGAAAAAAAGAUUUCCCAAUCAAGAAUUACAAAGGAAUUAGAUGCCUGCUUUAAAAAAAAAAAAAAGAAGAAAGAAAGAAUUACAGAGAAAGAGGGAAAAGCAGGAAACUUUGGAGACUUGGAGUAUUUAUUCAUUCUUCACUUGUUUCAGAAAGGGAUACAAGUUAAGAGAAGAGGGUUUAUUUUAGCUGGGCGUGGUGGUGGGCACCUGUAAUCCCAG